UACAGAGGGUGCAAGCGUUAAUCGGAAUUACUGGGCGUAAAGCGUGCGCAGGCGGUUCGGAAAGAAAGAUGUGAAAUCCCAGGGCUUAACCUUGGAACUGCAUUUUUAACUACCGGGCUAGAGUGUGUCAGAGGGGGGUGGAAUUCCACGUGUAGCAGUGAAAUGCGUAGAUAUGUGGAGGAACACCGAUGGCGAAGGCAGCCCCCUGGGAUAACACUGACGCUCAUGCACGAAAGCGUGGGGAGCAAACAGG
rnacentral:rRNA from 1 species